rnacentral:rRNA from 1 species
GCGGUGGAGCAUGUGGUUUAAUUCGAAGCAACGCGAAGAACCUUACCAGGUCUUGACAUCCCGAUGCUAUUCUAGAGAUAGAAAGUUACUUCGGUACAUCGGUGACAGGUGGUGCAUGGUUGUCGUCAGCUCGUGUCGUGAGAUGUUGGGUUAAGUCCCGCAACGAGCGCAACCCCUAUUGUUAGUUGCCAUCAUUCAGUUGGGCACUCUAGCGAGACUGCCGGUAAUAAACCGGAGGAAGGUGGGAUGACGUCAAAUCAUCAUGCCCCUUAUGACCUGGGCUACACACGUGCUACAAUGGUUGGUACAACGAGUUGCGAGUCGGUGACGGCGAGCUAAUCUCUUAAAGCCAAUCUCAGUUCGGAUUGUAGGCUGCAACUCGCCUACAUGAAGUCGGAAUCGCUAGUAAUCGCGGAUCAGCACGCCGCGGUGAAUACGUUCCCGGGCCUU